UACGUAGGGGGCAAGCGUUGUCCGGAAUCAUUGGGCGUAAAGCGCGCGUAGGCGGCCCGGUAAGUCCGCUGUAAAAGUCCAGGGCUCAACCCUGGAAAGCCGGUGGAUACUGUCGGGCUAGAGUACGGAAGAGGCGAGUGGAAUUCCCGGUGUAGCGGUGAAAUGCGCAGAUAUCAGGAGGAACACCAAUUGCGAAGGCAGCUCGCUGGGACGUUACUGACGCUGAGACGCGAAAGCGUGGGGAGCAAACAGG
rnacentral:rRNA from 1 species